GGACCCGAGUGCUAUCCGAGUGGGACUAAACCAUGCGAGUCAACAUAGCAAUAUGUGGCAUACGGCUCAGUAACAAGUAGUCAACAUGCCCCGGGGACGGGGAUAACCUCGGGAACUGAGGAUAAACCGGGGUAGGUCACUACUUUUGGAAUGGGUAAUGACCAAAACCUAUAUGGCCCCUGGAUUGGACUGCGGCCGAUCAGGCUGUUGGUGAGGUAAUGGCCCCCCAAACCUGUAACCGGUACGGGGUUUGAGAGGAGGAGCCCGGAGAUGGGCACUGCGACAAGGGCCCCGGCCCUAUGGGGCGCAGCAGGCGCGAAACCUUUGCAAUUGGCGAAAGCCUGACAGGGUUACUUUGAGUGAUUUCCGUUAAGGAGAUUUUUUGGCACCUCUAAAAAUGGUGCAGAAUAAGGGGUGGGCAAGUUUGGUGU
rnacentral:rRNA from 1 species